UACACUCACAGGUGGAUUCGGUAAAAUGAAUAAACGUAAUCUGGAAGCAAUCAUAAGGUUCACAAAGUACAAUAAAGAGAAAGACCCCAGUAACUGGUAUAGAGCCAAAUUGAUGCUUUAUUUCCCAUGGUACAGUGAAGAAACAGAUUUGUUAGGUGGCUAUUCAACCUUUGAAGAGCAUUUCCGUAAUGUCCAAUCGUCUGUGAUAGCUAAUGAGAAAAAGUACACACUGUCUGACGUAGAAAACAUUGAAAUUGAUGAGGAUGGCCCCCCACAGCAUGCUUGGGAUCAAGUAGCACCGGGUACUGAAGCUGACAGAGCCCAACAUGAAGCUGAAGGUCCUGAAACUCUAACAGAUUUGUCUGAGCAAGACGUUAGGGACAAUAGUGCAUUGUUUACGUCCACUACCUCUAGUAGCUUACAUGUGCGCUAUGAAGGCGUAGCUAAUCAUGGGGAAAUUCCACCUGAUAAAUACAGAAAGCUUUUAAGAGGUCUUAACAGCAAGCAAAAACAAAUUGUCAUGUUUCACCGCAAUUGGUGCAAGAAAGCUGUGAUAGCAUUAAAGCAUGGUAAACCCAUUGAGCCAUACCGUGUGUGUUUGUGAGUGGCCCUGGAGGUGUAGGAAAGACGCAUGUUAUCAAACUGAUACAUUCUGAUACUGUUAAAUUGCUUAGGUUGUCUGGCACAAUAGAACCUGACGAUGUUACAGUUUUGCUUACAGCCCCCACUGGUGCAGCAGCAUUUAUUAUAGGUGGUAUGACGUUACAUUCUGCUCUUGUACUAUAGGUACCAGUAGAUACAGUGGUUUUCAGCCUCUCAAUCACGAUCGUUUAAACUCCCUACGAAGUAAAUUGUCUAAGUUAGCACUACUGAUCAUUGACGAAAUAAGCAUGGUUGGUUCCAACAUGUUGCUAGAAGUGCACAAGAGACUAGAGCAAAUCAAAGCUGUCAUGCCGGAUAGGAGUACUUUUGGUGGUGUCAGUAUAUUAGCAGUAGGAGAUCUUUUUCAAUUACCCCCUGUCUGUCAAACACCUGUUUUUAGUGUCGUCAACGAUAGUUAUGCUAAACUAUACAACUCUGGUUCAUUGUGGUUAGAUGAAUUUCAAAUGAUUGAGCUAGAUGAGAUUAUGAGGCAAAAGGGUGACUCGGUAUUUUGUGAACUUUUGUGUAGGAUUAGAACGGCUACACACAAUGACAAUGACGUCGCUGUGCUAAAGUCCAGGGAAAUUACUCCUCAAAUGCCCAAUUACCCAAACCAUGCUCUACAUGUGUAUAGACUCAAUGCUGAUGUUGAUGAGCGUAACAUAACCAUGUUGAUUGAAUGCCUUGGUUCCAGAAAGUCAGCAAUAUUCAAUAAAGUCUUGCGAUUCUAGAGCUGGUCAAACUAGCCACAUCAACUUGUCAACCCUGUCUGCCAAGAGAUCAGAAACUGGUGGCCUACACGGCAUUUUGAAAAUUGCAAUUGGUGCCAGAGUUAUGCUAACAACCAAUGUUGACGUAGCAGAUGGGCUAGUUAAUGGUGCUAGAGGUGAAAUAGUCAAUAUAGUGAUGGGUGCUGGUAAGGUUACACACAUUCUUGUAAAUUUUGAUCACCCUAAUGUUGGAGCUAAGGCCAGACAAGGUAGUCAAUUUUUGCAAACAUUCCCAACUGCUGUUCCACUAGUAAAACACGAAGCUAUUUUUAAGGCUAAAGGUAAACAAGGCUCUGAAAUUACUCGGUUACAGUUCCCAUUGACUCUAUAGCUUGGGCCACUACUAUACAUAAGGUACAAGGUUUAACACUCGAUGAAAUUGUGGUAGACAUGAAAGGUAGCCGCUUUAGCUCUGGUCAAGCCUAUAUGUAGCAUUCAGUCGUGUUAAAAAGCUUGAAGGUUUGCAUAUAUUGAACUUUAAUGAGAAGGUUAUUAAAGCGAGUGAUGACGUCAAGACUGAAAUGUCUAGAUUAAAUGAUAGGGUACUCAGCCCUUUGUCCGUUGACACAUGUCCUGAAGAUUACAUCACAAUUACAUUACUCAAUGUGAGAUCGCUGCUAGCUAAAGUACCAGACAUUGAAUGUGAUAAAUUAUUUACUUCAGCUGGAAUUCACUGUUUUACUGAAACAUGGUUGCAGUCCGGAAUAGCCAGUCCAUUAAUACAUACAAACCAUCAAUUUUUAAGACUCGAUAGUGUUUCUGGUGAUAGAAAAGGUGGGGUUUUGAUUAGUUUGCCUGAAAAUAUAGAAAUACUGAACUCUUAUGCUUGUGACGUAGAUGGUGUUGCAAUAGAAAUGCUAUGUGCUCUGCUUCAACUACCUAAUGGACAAGCCAUUCAUUUAACUCUUGUGUACCGAUCUCCAAGUGUAUCAAUGAACGAUUUAUUAGGCUACAUGUAUCCCCUGUUGCAGCACCUAAAAAGCUUUAAUGUAUCUAUUGUCCUAGGUGACUUUAAUGUGGACAUUCUAACUAACACUAAUUCACAAUUAGAAGUAUUAAUGCUUCGUCAUGGUUAUUCUCAGCUAGUGCACACUCCCACUACAGACAACGGUACUCUUAUAGACCAUGUAUAUUGCAAUAGCCUAGCACCAGAGCGUGUUCAUACAAAGAUUACUGAUGUGUACUACUCGGAUCACGAUGCAGUUCUCUGCUCCAUUCCCCUCGAAUCUAUCAGUCUAACUACGUGACCUGUACACUUAGUGAGUAUUUGAGGCUAUAUAGCUCAACUUACUUACAUUACUGAAUAUUUCUGAAUAAUACGAGUUUGAGGCACCUAUAAUUAUUCUUGUGUAUGUCCACACUCUGACCAUGUUCUAUGCUAUACCUUCUCUGAGACAAAUUUGCUAAUUGGUUGAAACCAGUGCAUUUUAUACAGCCUCUUCAGCUAGAUUAUCUCUGCCUGGUUUCAACCGUAACUUUAGCAUUCGUUGUACGCUUGUAUACUUUUUCUGGCUUGGCCAAUCUGUUAAUCUAUGACUCAAAUGACUCAAAGUUUCCAAUCUGUUUUGCUGUUAGUCUAUGACUCUAAGACUCAAAUGACUCAAAGUUUCCAAUCUGUUUUGCUGUUAGUCUAUGACUCUAAGACUCAAAUGACUCAAAGUUUCCAAUCUGUUUUGCUGUUAAUCUAUGACUCUAUGACUCAAAUGACUCCUAUGACUCCUAUGACUCCUAUGACUCAAAUGACUCAAAGUUUACUAAGUGUUCAAUUAACUGUUCCUGGUUCCUGUUGAAGACUAAGAAUGUCUACCGCUGCAGUGAGUUAAAUCCAACCAUGGGCCAUCUUCGACUUGUAGUCCCAAGAAAAUAAUUAUUGAUGAACACUGGCUAAUGUAACGAUUUCAAUUUAUUAAUGGCUGUCUCGACAUACUACAACUGUAUACAUUGUACGCAAGAAUUCUAACUAUGAUAAAAUGGCUCUGCGACACUCAAAAAUUGAAGAAAAUUAAUGAACGAACUAUACUUGCAUAGAGACCUCAAUCUGAUAGCUGUCUUCGACGCACAGUUUGUGGCAGAUAACAAACAUACAUCAUACGCAAGAAAAUCGAUAAAACUAUGAACUAUGAUUAUAUAAGAGUGAUACAGCAAAAAUAGAUGUUGCUAUCCUGUUUCUACCUUCGAGCAAUGCUCCCUACUUGAAUUUGGCACUUUUAAUUUUGACAGCCUUCCAAAAGCCACAUGGUCAGCUACUUUCGGCCUGAAGCCAUGUUUAUACGUGCAGUCAAUUUCGCUUUUAUUUAUUUAUUAUUACAACUAUUUUCAGAAUUUAUUUAUACGUCCUUUUUUACACUUACUUUUGUUAUACUAUUUCUCUUAUUUAUUAAACUACCAUUACUACAUCAACACUUACUUACUAUU